rnacentral:tRNA from 3 species
GCGGAUGUGGUGGAAUUGGUAGACACGCCACCUUGAGGGGGUGGUGCUUCCGGGCGUGGGGGUUCAAGUCCCCCCAUCCGCACCA